GAGGUGGUUUUAGUACGUAGGCGCUGUGGGACUUCAUUGUCCCAAUGAUGCAGCGAAUCGUGCAUACGAGAUUGGUUGCUCGUAUCUUUAGAAGAUUUCCUUCCUC
rfam:Drosophila willistoni strain TSC#14030-0811.24 scf2_1100000001451 genomic scaffold, whole genome shotgun sequence.